AACGAACGCUGGCGGCGUGCCUAACACAUGCAAGUCGAACGAGAAAGGGGCUUCGGCUCCGAGUAAAGUGGCGCACGGGUGAGUAACACGUGGGUAACCUGCCUCUAAGAUUGGGAUAACUCGUCGAAAGAUGAGCUAAUACCGAAUAAGACCACAGUUCCCGCGGGAACAGGGGUCAAAGGUAGCCUCUGCUUGCAAGCUAUCACUUAGAGAUGGGCCUGCGCACCAUUAGCUAGUUGGUAGGGUAACGGCCUACCAAGGCAAAGAUGGUUAGCUGGUCUGAGAGGAUGAUCAGCCACACUGGAACUGAGACACGGUCCAGACUCCUACGGGAGGCAGCAGUGGGGAAUAUUGCGCAAUGGGCGAAAGCUUGACGCAGCAACGCCGCGGGAGUGAUGAAGGCCGUCGGGUCGUAAAGCUCUGUCGGGAGGAACGAAUGCUCCUGAGGUUAACAGCCUCGGGAGGUGACGGUACCUUCAAAGGAAGCACCGGCUAACUCUGUG
rnacentral:rRNA from 1 species